rnacentral:rRNA from 1 species
GUAGGGAAUAUUGGGCAAUGGUCGGAAGACUGACCCAGCCAUGCCGCGUGCAGGAAGACGGCCCUCUGGGUUGUAAACUGCUUUUAUCUGGGAAGAAAAAGGCCAUGCGUGGCAAAUUGCCGGUACCAGAUGAAUAAGCACCGGCUAACUCCGUGCCAGCAGCCGCGGUAAUACGGAGGGUGCGAGCGUUGUCCGGAUUUAUUGGGUUUAAAGGGUGCGCAGGCGGCUGAUUAAGUCAGCGGUGAAGGACUUCGGCUUAACCGGAGCAGUGCCGUUGAUACUGGUUGGCUUGAGUGUCGGAGGGGUACAUGGAAUUGAUGGUGUAGCGGUGAAAUGCAUAGAUACCAUCAGGAACACAGAUAGCGAAGGCAUUGUACUGGCCGACAACUGACGCUGAUGCACGAAAGUGUGGGGAUCGAACAGGAUUAGAUACCCGAGUAGUCC